rnacentral:rRNA from 1 species
GGGUUGUGAGGUUAAGCGACUAAGCGUACACGGUGGAUGCCCUGGCAGUCAGAGGCGAUGAAGGACGUGCUAAUCUGCGAUAAGCGUCGGUAAGGUGAUAUGAACCGUUAUAACCGGCGAUUUCCGAAUGGGGAAACCCAGUGUGAUUCGUCACACUAUCAUUAACUGAAUCCAUAGGUUAAUGAGGCGAACCGGGGGAACUGAAACAUCUAAGUACCCCGAGGAAAAGAAAUCAACCGAGAUUCCCCCAGUAGCGGCGAGCGAACGGGGAGCAGCCCAGAGCCUGAAUCAGUGUGUGUGUUAGUGGAAGCGUCUGGAAAGGCGUGCGAUACAGGGUGACAGCCCCGUACACAAAAAUGCACAUACUGUGAGCUCGAUGAGUAGGGCGGGACACGUGGUAUCCUGUCUGAAUAUGGGGGGACCAUCCUCCAAGGCUAAAUACUCCUGACUGACCGAUAGUGAACCAGUACCGUGAGGGAAAGGCGAAAAGAACCCCGGCGAGGGGAGUGAAAAAGAACCUGAAACCGUGUACGUACAAGCAGUGGGAGCACGCUUAGGCGUGUGACUGCGUACCUUUUGUAUAAUGGGUCAGCGACUUAUAUUCUGUAGCAAGGUUAACCGAAUAGGGGAGCCGAAGGGAAACCGAGUCUUAACUGGGCGUUAAGUUGCAGGGUAUAGACCCGAAACCCGGUGAUCUAGCCAUGGGCAGGUUGAAGGUUGGGUAACACUAACUGGAGGACCGAACCGACUAAUGUUGAAAAAUUAGCGGAUGACUUGUGGCUGGGGGUGAAAGGCCAAUCAAACCGGGAGAUAGCUGGUUCUCCCCGAAAGCUAUUUAGGUAGCGCCUCGUGAAUUCAUCUCCGGGGGUAGAGCACUGUUUCGGCAAGGGGGUCAUCCCGACUUACCAACCCGAUGCAAACUGCGAAUACCGGAGAAUGUUAUCACGGGAGACACACGGCGGGUGCUAACGUCCGUCGUGAAGAGGGAAACAACCCAGACCGCCAGCUAAGGUCCCAAAGUCAUGGUUAAGUGGGAAACGAUGUGGGAAGGCCCAGACAGCCAGGAUGUUGGCUUAGAAGCAGCCAUCAUUUAAAGAAAGCGUAAUAGCUCACUGGUCGAGUCGGCCUGCGCGGAAGAUGUAACGGGGCUAAACCAUGCACCGAAGCUGCGGCAGCGACGCUUAUGCGUUGUUGGGUAGGGGAGCGUUCUGUAAGCCUGCGAAGGUGUGCUGUGAGGCAUGCUGGAGGUAUCAGAAGUGCGAAUGCUGACAUAAGUAACGAUAAAGCGGGUGAAAAGCCCGCUCGCCGGAAGACCAAGGGUUCCUGUCCAACGUUAAUCGGGGCAGGGUGAGUCGACCCCUAAGGCGAGGCCGAAAGGCGUAGUCGAUGGGAAACAGGUUAAUAUUCCUGUACUUGGUGUUACUGCGAAGGGGGGACGGAGAAGGCUAUGUUGGCCGGGCGACGGUUGUCCCGGUUUAAGCGUGUAGGCUGGUUUUCCAGGCAAAUCCGGAAAAUCAAGGCUGAGGCGUGAUGACGAGGCACUACGGUGCUGAAGCAACAAAUGCCCUGCUUCCAGGAAAAGCCUCUAAGCAUCAGGUAACAUCAAAUCGUACCCCAAACCGACACAGGUGGUCAGGUAGAGAAUACCAAGGCGCUUGAGAGAACUCGGGUGAAGGAACUAGGCAAAAUGGUGCCGUAACUUCGGGAGAAGGCACGCUGAUAUGUAGGUGAAGUCCCUCGCGGAUGGAGCUGAAAUCAGUCGAAGAUACCAGCUGGCUGCAACUGUUUAUUAAAAACACAGCACUGUGCAAACACGAAAGUGGACGUAUACGGUGUGACGCCUGCCCGGUGCCGGAAGGUUAAUUGAUGGGGUCAGCGCAAGCGAAGCUCUUGAUCGAAGCCCCGGUAAACGGCGGCCGUAACUAUAACGGUCCUAAGGUAGCGAAAUUCCUUGUCGGGUAAGUUCCGACCUGCACGAAUGGCGUAAUGAUGGCCAGGCUGUCUCCACCCGAGACUCAGUGAAAUUGAACUCGCUGUGAAGAUGCAGUGUACCCGCGGCAAGACGGAAAGACCCCGUGAACCUUUACUAUAGCUUGACACUGAACAUUGAGCCUUGAUGUGUAGGAUAGGUGGGAGGCUUGGAAGUGUGGACGCCAGUCUGCAUGGAGCCGACCUUGAAAUACCACCCUUUAAUGUUUGAUGUUCUAACGUUGACCCGUAAUCCGGGUUGCGGACAGUGUCUGGUGGGUAGUUUGACUGGGGCGGUCUCCUCCUAAAGAGUAACGGAGGAGCACGAAGGUUGGCUAAUCCUGGUCGGACAUCAGGAGGUUAGUGCAAUGGCAUAAGCCAGCUUGACUGCGAGCGUGACGGCGCGAGCAGGUGC